UACGAAGGUGGCAAGCGUUAUUCGGAUUUACUGGGCGUACAGGGAGCGUAGGCGGUUCGGUAAGCCCUUUGUGAAAUCUUCAGGCUUAACCUGGAACAGUCGGAGGGGACUGCCGGGCUAGAGGACGGGAGGGGAGCGCGGAAUUCCCGGUGUAGCGGUGAAAUGCGUAGAUAUCGAGAGGAACACCUGCGGCGAAGGCGGGUUGCUGGGCUGACACUGACGCUGAUGCGCGAAAGCCAGGGGAGCAAACGGG
rnacentral:rRNA from 1 species